UUUUGAUAAUGAUUUUGAUAAUCAUCAUGUAUGAUUUUGAUAAUCAUCAUGUAUGAUUUUGGUAUGAUUUUGGCAUGGUUUUGUAUGAUGAUUUGGUAUGAUUUUGGCAUGGUUUUGUAUGAUGAUUUGGUAUGAUUUUGGCAAGGUUUUGUUGGAUGCAUUUGAUCUGAACAUGACUACUGAUUUGGUUUUUUCUUGUUCAACUGCUACUGAAUUGGACUGGUGUGCAUAUCUUGCUUAGCUUGUUUGGAUGUGUGUCUGCAUAUGUUGGUGUAGCUUAUUAUGUUUAUCAGGUUUAUGUUGUUACUAAUAAUGCAUUGCAAGGUGUGCAUUCUGUAGACUGGUUUAGGGAUAUUGUUCUGCAUGUUGAUGCUUGCUGCAAGGCUUGAUUACAGACUGGUUCAGGUUUGGUUCAUGGUGUAGCAAAUUGUAUGUUGCUUGGUCUUUGCUCAUGUUUUUUGGGUGUGCUAUAGGAUUGGUAAAAUCCUGCAGAAUUGUGUUACAUUUGUGAUGCCAUGCAUGAUUUUAGACCAUGGCAUGUUCUUGUGAGUUUUAGUUUGCAUGAUGGUCUGCUUUGGGGCCUGAGUUUCUAAUGCAUUAUUGCAGGUUGCAAGUUCUGACUGCAUUGGGUUGGCAUUUGGCCUGAACUUGGUUUACUUUGAUGGCUUGAAAUGCCUAUGGUUGGACCAUGUUUCAUUGGCUUUGUAUGGCUCUUUACAUAUGGUCAUGCACACAUGGAAUAGAUUGUUGGAUAAUGGCUUGCAACAUGGAUGUUCAUAUAUCUUGCACAUGAAGUAACAUUGGCACAUGGAACUAAUCAAGGAUCAAGAGUGAAAUAGGGAUUAGGGUUUUGGGAUGUAAAAUGGGUGAGUUGACUUUGGUUAAAGUGCCAUUUUUGUAAAUUUUGUAUGUUUUGGACAAUCUUAUGAUUUGUAAUGAAUAUGACAUUUGAUAUGAAUAAAAAAUUGGUGUUUUUUGUAGCAAGAUAAAGAUCUCUCUUUGUAUCUUAGAACUUUCAUGUAUUCAUGUGAUGAGAUACUUUAUGAUUA